CAUUGAAUCGUAAACGGAGGAAAAGAAACCAACAGGGAUUGCCCUAGUAACGGCGAGUGAAGCGGCAACAGCUCAAAUUUGAAAGCUAGCCUUCGGGUUCGCAUUGUAAUUUGUAGAGGAUGAUUUGGGGAAGCCGCCUGUCUAAGUUCCUUGGAACAGGACGUCAUAGAGGGUGAGAAUCCCGUAUGUGACAGGAAAUGGCACCCUAUGUAAAUCUCCUUCGACGAGUCGAGUUGUUUGGGAAUGCAGCUCUAAAUGGGAGGUAAAUUUCUUCUAAAGCUAAAUAUUGGCGAGAGACCGAUAGCGCACAAGUAGAGUGAUCGAAAGAUGAAAAGCACUUUGGAAAGAGAGUUAAAAAGCACGUGAAAUUGUUGAAAGGGAAGCGCUUGCAAUCAGACUUGUUUAAACUGUUCGGCCGGUCUUCUGACCGGUUUACUCAGUUUGGACAGGCCAGCAUCAGUUUCGGCGGCCGGAUAAAGGCUCUGGGAAUGUGGCCUCCACUUCGGUGGAGGUGUUAUAGCCCAGGGUGUAAUACGGCCAGCCGGGACUGAGGUCCGCGCUUCGGCUAGGAUGCUGGCGUAAUGGUUGUAAGCGACCCGUCUUGACCCUCGAACAAAGCAGAA
rnacentral:rRNA from 1 species